AUGAUGGAGCCGUGGCAGAACUGGCAGAAGGAUCGCACACUCGAUAUGUUCAAGAUACCAGUGGACCAGAGUUAUUGUGAAUUGCUUCGUGAUGUACUGGAUGGUCAGUGCACUCGGACUGCCUUUGAGAAACUCGAAGGAGGUCACCCUGCUCUGAGCUUGCAUGAUGAUGAUGUUGUUUACAUCAUGGCCAAGGCUAAAGAGAUGAACCGCAGGGCAGUUGUGUUUGCUGUGAACAUGAGGAACAAGGUUAUACAAGGAUUGGCUAAAUUUGAUGGAAAAAGAACAUAUGGCUUCACUGAAACCUACCUUCAAAGUGGGAUCUCCAGCUAUCUGACCGCUGAGUUGUCUGCCAGAGGGAAAGCUAGAGAUGGAAUUCCACAAGGAGGCGAUUGCAUAGCUUUGGAGCCUAUUGAUAACAUGUACAAAGGGAAGGCUGCUGAAUCAAGCAAGGAUCGAAUCACACAAGCAGGUGACAUAUCCAAAAGUAAUGCUGCUGAGUCAGGCUGGGUUCGAGUUUCAAGAGGACGCAAGCAGAAAGCUUGA
rnacentral:rRNA from 1 species